rnacentral:lncRNA from 1 species
UUACAUAUAGCACUGUUAAUUUUUCAACUGAGCCAGGGAUUCUAUCUCACUGACUUUUUCUGUUUAGUGUGCAGUGCUUUGAUCUAACAAAUCUAAAGUCUAAACAUAUUUGAAAAACAUUUAUAAGACUUGAACAUUAAAAGUUUUGAUUAAUAGCCAAAGUCAAUGUAUUAAGGUAGAGCAACUCUGUUGUAUGCCUCUUCGUUAUCCAAGAGGAUAGUGUAUCAUGUGGAUAUAAGUGAACAGUGUACAGGGAUACAGUGCUUACUCUCUAUCCAUAGCUUCCACCCCUCAAACAGCAUCUCAGACAGGAUAACAGGUUACGUGCUUUUCCAGGUAAUAU